rfam:Eurypyga helias contig5850, whole genome shotgun sequence.
AUCUUUGGUUAUCUAGCUGUAUGAGUGUUUUGGUGUUCAUAAAGCUAGAUAACCGAAAGU